rnacentral:rRNA from 1 species
GAUGAACGCUAGCGGCAGGCUUAACACAUGCAAGUCGAGGGGUAUAUAGGAGCUUGCUUUUAUAGAGACCGGCAAACGGGUGCGGAACACGUACGCAAUCUGCCCUUAUCUUGGGGAUAGCCCAUAGAAAUGUGGAUUAAUACCCAAUAGCAUAUUUGGAUGGCAUCAUUUAAAUAUUAAAGAACUUCGGAUAAGGAUGAGCGUGCGUAAGAUUAGCUAGAUGGUGAGGUAACGGCUCACCAUGGCAACGAUCUUUAGCUGACGUGAGAGCAUGAUCAGCCACACGGGCACUGAGACACGGGCCCGACUCCUACGGGAGGCAGCAGUGAGGAAUAUUGGUCAAUGGACGGAAGUCUGAACCAGCCAUGCCGCGUGAAGGAUGAAGGCGUUCUGCGUUGUAAACUUCUUUUAUCAGGGAAGAAACCACAGAUUUCUAUUUGUGUUGACGGUACCUGAGGAAUAAGCACCGGCUAACUCCGUGCCAGCCGCCGCAGUAACAC